ACUUUGACUUGCUUUAAUGCAUGGAUCUUCUUGUCUACCAGCUCCAAGAAUUGGAACCCAGGUGAACAUCAUCAGAGGCCAACAUGUCCACCACUAAACCAAAUCUUCGUGUGCCUAGAAUAUUGGAGCUUGGAGCCUCAUCCCAAAUUCCUUCACUUGUUUUCGUGGCUGAGACUUCACUUUUUUUUUAGUUGGACUGCGACAUCACUUUGUUUAAAACUUUUUUGGUUGAAGUUAGGCUGGGAAGGCCCAGCCCAAUGCAGCGAGAGCCAUAUACAAUAAUCUCAUCUGACUGAGAAGCAAUAACACCACCAAUGGAAACAUUUACAAUUUCAUCUACCCCUUCCUAACACAUCUACCCUGUAUCUUCCUAACAGAUUCAGAUUACUCUCUCCAAGCUUGAGAUAUCAGUGACUACCAAGUGCUUCAAUCACUUGGUUUAAAACUUAGGUUACCUUGUUGGAAUCAUGACCUCCGACCGUUGGGUCAACCCUAUGAAAAUAAAUUAAUCUUGCUGUGCCGAGUAGGUUUAUAUUGGGCCUUCUGAAUGUGAUACUUGAUGUUUUCUAGUGGAUACUUGUGCUUUACAUGCCCCAAACUAUAUCAGCUUAGUUUAGUAGUUCAUUCCAAUGUAUGCGUGCUCUUUGCUAUCCGAAGCAAGCCCCUUGUGAAUAUUUCUGGUUCGAUGUCAUUGAAACCUGUGUAGUUUAUGUAUCACAUUUUGCGUUCACCUGAAUUAAUUAUGUUGAAGUGGGCUAGCAACUCUCUCCAUAAUAUAUAUUUGAGAUAGAAAACGAGGUGCAAGUUUUCUAGGACAGUAGUUGUUUGGAUGAUCUCGGGCGGGGGGCCUUAAUUAUUGAGUAAAGGGGUCUUGUCACACUGGCAGGCAAGGAUCACAGGCCCCAUGUUGGUAUUAUUCAAAAAUGAAAAUGCAUGAGAAUAAAAAAUGAAAAUGCCCUGACAAAAGGGCGUUAUAGGAUCGUGUGGUGUGAGGUACUGGCCCCCAUGGCCAUGGCCAUCAACAUCAGAUGGCAACUAAAGUAUGACUGCUGUGUAGUUGAGAGCAGUACAUUUUGUCCAUGCCACAGGGAUGGGGCAACUUCACAACCGUGUUCCUGAUAUUUACAGCACAAAAAAACUUGACGAAGGGUCAUCCCCAUGGACGUGGAGACGGAUUGGAAUCAGAAUCCUGAACCCCCUUUUUUCUUUUCUUCCAGUGGUCCCCUUUAAGCUUUUUCACUUUGUUUCUGUCUUCACCUUUGCACAAAACAUUCUCUUCUUUCUUUCUUUAUAUUAUAGUAUCAUCUCUCUUCUCUUCUCUUUUCUUUUCUUUUUGAGUUUAGGAUGUUCAUGUUCAUACUUCAUAUUCAUGUGCAUGGGAGGCUCUCCCUCCUCCCUCACGUGACAUCCAUUGUGUUGUUUCAUCUAAUCUCACUGAUCCAUAUAUUCUGUUUCCAUUCUUGCUUAUCGCUUAGUCUAAAAAAUCACACUAUAACUUGUUUUGGUUCUAUCUCCAUCCACUUUUAUCGCAAAGGUUCUCUUCUUCCUCUAGUCAUUUUCUUAAAGUCUCUUCAUCACUGCUAGUCACUUUUAGUAUGCUAAACCCAAGAUUAAGAUUUCAAAAUAUGUGCAGAUUUAUAGCUACAUAAUAACUCACGGCUGUAAUGUAUAACCAUUUAGAUUCACAAUCUGCUUUUUCAUUGAGUUAUAUGCUCAUAGUACAGAAGCUAUGCAUGUAAUAUGAGGCGUUAAAAAUUUGCUUCAGGACAAAUGGAUUUUUUAAAGACAACACUGUUUGCAGCUUAUUUAUGCAAAGCUUGGCUGUGCAAAUCAAUCAAUCCCGACUUCAAUUGACAUCAUGAAACCUAUUAUUCUGAAGUAUAUUAUUAAAUUAUUUCUUUUGUUCCAAAACUAACAGAGUUAUAUUUUGCAUAGGAGAGAGAAAUAAAUUAUACAAAUCACAAGUUUGAAGCUAUUAAACAUCUUAGUAUAAGAUUUCCGUUGUGUUCCAUCUUUUCAGCACCAAAAAUGAGAAAUGGAAAUGUGUGGAAGUAGUGAACGCUACACAUAUUCUUACUUUACUCAAAACAGAAGCUGUGACCCUGCAUUCCUCACUAUUUGAUAUACCAAUCCACAGGUUCAAUAUGGGAAUUGAGUUACAUCAUGUGACUAGUUUAUUGUGUUGUCACAUUGAAAUAGAAAUAAAUAAAUAAAAACUAUAGUUUCCUUCCAACUAACCAUUUCCCCUGUAUUCACGGACACGAGAGUUCAACGGCACGUUAUUGGAAAAUAAACAGCAGGCAUUUGCAUUUUUCUUGUGACAUUGGAAAAAAUAUUUGGCCGUGUAUGUAUAUCACUAGUCUUAGGUUGCUUCAAGGAGUUUCACUGCAUCCCUUCAGUGACUAGUUAUCAGUGCCUAUUGCCAUUUGACCACACAUUAUCUAAAGUGAUGCUCCAGUUGUGCAGCACAAA